rnacentral:rRNA from 1 species
AUUGAACGCUGGCGGCAUGCCUAACACAUGCAAGUCGAACGAGUGGCGGAAGGGUGAGUACUGUCUGGGAAACUGCCUGAUGGAGGGGGAUAACUAAUGGAAACGGUAGCCAAUACCGCAUACCAUCGGAUGUGCCCAGAUGGGAUUAGUUAGUUGGUGGGGUAAAGGCUAACCUAGGCGACGAUCCAUAGCUGGUCUGAGAGGAUGACCAGCCACACUGGAACUGAGACACGGUCCAGACUCCUACGGGAGGCAGCAGUGGGGAAUAUUGCACAAUGGGGGCAACCCUGAUGCAGCCAGGCCGCGUGUAUGAAGAAGGCCUUCGGGUUGUAAAGUACUUUCAGCGGGGAGGCGUUACCCGCAGAAGAAGCACCGGCUAACUACGUGCCAGCAGCCGCGGUAAUUC